GAUGAACGCUAGCGGCAGGCCUAAUACAUGCAAGUCGAACGGUCCACUUCGGUGGAUAGUGGCGCACGGGUGCGUAACACGUAUGCAACCUACCUUACAUUGGGGGAUAGCCUUUCGAAAGGGAGAUUAAUACCGCAUAAGACAGUAACAUGGCAUCAUGUAGCUGUUAAAGAUUUAUCGAUGUAAGCUGGGCAUGCGUCCAAUUAGUUAGUUGGUGAAGUAAUGGCUCACCAAGACGAUGAUUGGUAGGGGAACUGAGAGGUCAAUCCCCCACUCUGGCACUGAGAUACGGGCCAGACUCCUACGGGAGGCAGCAGUAGGGAAUAUUGGGGAAUGGACGCAAGUCUGACCCAGCCAUGCCGCGUGCAGGAAGAAGGCGUUCUGCGUUGUAAACUGCUUUUAUAUAGGAAGAAACGACCCUUGCGAGGGGCAUUGACGGUAUUAUAUGAAUAAGCACCGGCUAACUCCGUGCCAGCCGCCGCGGUAAGAC
rnacentral:rRNA from 1 species